GACGAACGCUGGCGGCGUGCCUAAUACAUGCAAGUCGUGCGGACCUUGUUGAAAGCUUGCUUUUAAAAGGUUAGCGGCGGACGGGUGAGUAACACGUGGGCAACCUGCCUGUAAGACUGGGAUAACGCCGGGAAACCGGGGCUAAUACCAGAUCGUUUUUUCCUCCGCAUGGAGGAAAAAGGAAAGGCGGCUUCGGCUGCCACUUACAGAUGGGCCCGCGGCGCAUUAGCUAGUUGGCGGGGUAAUGGCCCACCAAGGCAACGAUGCGUAGCCGACCUGUGAGGGUGAUCGGCCACAUUGGGACUGAGACACGGCCCAAACUCCUACGGGAGGCAGCAGUAGGGAAUCUUCCGCAAUGGACGAAAGUCUGACGGAGCAACGCCGCGUGAGUGAAGAAGGCCUUCGGGUCGUAAAACUCUGUUGCCGGGGAAGAACAAGUGCCGUUCGAACAGGGCGGCGCCUUGACGGUACCCGGCCAGAAAGCCACGGCUAACUACGUG
rnacentral:rRNA from 1 species